rnacentral:rRNA from 1 species
GAUGAACGCUGGCGGCGUGCCUAAUACAUGCAAGUCGAGCGAACGGACGAGAAGCUUGCUUUUCUGAUGUUAGCGGCGGACGGGUGAGUAACACGUGGAUAACCUACCUAUAAGACUGGGAUAACUUCGGGAAACCGGAGCUAAUACCGGAUAAUAUUUUGAACCGCAUGGUUCAAAAGUGACAGACGGUCUUGCUGUCACUUAUAGAUGGAUCCGCGCUGCAUUAGCUAGUUGGUAAGGUAACGGCUUACCAAGGCAACGAUGCAUAGCCGACCUGAGAGGGUGAUCGGCCACGCUGGAAGUUGGACACGGCCCAGACUCCUACGGGAGGCAGCAGUACGGACUCUGCCGCAGCGGGCGAAAGCCUUACGGAGCAACGCCGCGUGAGUGAUGAAGGUCUUCGGAUCGUAAAACUCUGUUAUUAGGGAAGAACAUAUGUGUAAGUAACUGUGCACAUCUUGACGGUACCUAAUCAGAAAGCCACGGCUAACUACGUG